ACGGNAGGCAGCAGUGGGGAAUAUUGCACAAUGGGCGGAAGCCUGAUGCAGCAACGCCGCGUGCGGGAUGACGGCCUUCGGGUUGUAAACCGCUUUCGCCUGUGACGAAGCGUGAGUGACGGUAAUGGGUAAAGAAGCACCGGCUAACUACGUGCCAGGCAGCCGCGGUNAUACGUAGGGUGCGAGCGUUGUCCGNAUUUAUUGGGCGUAAAGGGCUCGUAGGUGGUUGAUCGCGUCGGAAGUGUAAUCUUGGGGCUUAACCCUGAGCGUGCUUUCGAUACGGGUUGACUUGAGNAAGGUAGGGGAGAAUGGAAUUCCUGGUGGANCGGUGGAAUGCGCAGAUAUCAGGAGGAACACCAGUGGCGAAGUCGGUUCUCUGGGCCUUUCCUUACGNUGAGGANCGAAAGCGUGGGGAGCGNACAGGCUUAUAUACCCGGUAGUCCUCGCUGUAAAC
rnacentral:rRNA from 1 species